rnacentral:rRNA from 1 species
UACGUAGGGGGCAAGCGUUUGUCCGGAUUUAUUGGGCGUAAAGAGCGUGUAGGCGGUUUGGUAGGUCCGCUGUGAAAACUCGAGGCUCAACCUCGAGACGCCGGUGGAAACCAUCAGACUAGAGUCCGGAAGAGGAGAGUGGAAUUCCUGGUGUAGCGGUGAAAUGCGCAGAUAUCAGGAGGGAACACCAAUGGGCGAAGGCAGGUCUCUGGGCCAACAACUGACGCUGGAGGAGCGAAAGCGUGGGGAGCGAACAGG